CUCGUAGGCGGCCAACUAAGUCGGACGUGAAAUCCCUCGGCUUAACCGGGGAACUGCGUCCGAUACUGGAUGGCUUGAGUUCGGGAGAGGGAUGCGGAAUUCCAGGUGUAGCGGUGAAAUGCGUAGAUAUCUGGAGGAACACCGGUGGCGAAGGCGGCAUCCUGGACCGACACUGACGCUGAGGAGCGAAAGCCAGGGGAGCAAACGGGAUUAGAUACCCCGGUAGUCCUGGCCCUAAACGAUGAAUGCUUGGUGUGGCGGGUAUCGAUCCCUGCCGUGCCGAAGCUAACGCAUUAAGCAUUCCGCCUGGGGAGUACGGUCGCAAGGCUGAA
rnacentral:rRNA from 1 species